UACGUAGGUGGCAAGCGUUAUCCGGAAUUACUGGGCGUAAAGCGCACGCAGGCGGUCUGUUAAGUUUGACGUGAAAGCUCCCGGCUUAACUGGGAGAGGUCGUUGAAGACUGGCAGACUUGAGGCGAUGAGGGGGGUGUAGAAUUCCCGGUGUAGCGGUGAAAUGCGCAGAUAUCUGGGGGAAGGCCGGCGGCGAAGGCGCCUUUCUGGGAGAUUCCUGACACUGAGGCGCGAAAGCGUGGGGAGCAAACAGG
rnacentral:rRNA from 1 species